rnacentral:rRNA from 1 species
UACGAAGGGGGCUAGCGUUGCUCGGAAUUACUGGGCGUAAAGGGAGCGUAGGCGGACAGUUAAGUCAGUGGUGAAAGCCCAGGGCUCAACCCUGGAAUUGCCUUUGAUACUGAUUGUCUUGAGUAUGGGAGAGGUAUGCGGAACUCCGAGUGUAGAGGUGAAAUUCGUAGAUAUUCGGAAGAACACCAGUGGCGAAGGCGGCAUACUGGCCCAUUACUGACGCUGAGGCUCGAAAGCGUGGGGAGCAAAAGGG